rnacentral:rRNA from 1 species
AGAACGAACGCUGGCGGCAUGCCUAACACAUGCAAGUCGAACGCUCUUGAGGCUUCGGUUUCAAGGGAGUGGCGCACGGGUGAGUAGCGCGUGGGAACCUGCCCUGUUGUGGGGGAUAACCGAGGGAAACUUCGGCUAAUACCGCAUGCGCCCGGGGAAACCCGGGAAAGAUUUAUCGCAGCAGGAGGGGCCCGCGUCGGAUUAGGUAGUUGGUAGGGUAACGGCCUACCAAGCCUGUGAUCCGUAGCUGGUCUGAGAGGAUGAUCAGCCACACUGGGACUGAGACACGGCCCAGACUCCUACGGGAGGCAGCAGUGGGGAAUAUUGGACAAUGGGCGCAAGCCUGAUCCAGCAAUGCCGCGUGAGUGAUGAAGGCCUUAGGGUUGUAAAGCUCUUUCGCCCGCGACGAUGAUGACGGUAGCGGGAGAAGAAGCCCCGGCUAACUUCGUGCCAGCAGCCGC